AACGAACGCUGGCGGCAUGCCUAACACAUGCAAGUCGAACGAGACCUUCGGGUCUAGUGGCGCACGGGUGCGUAACGCGUGGGAACCUGCCCUUAGGUUCGGAAUAACUCCCCGAAAGGGGUGCUAAUACCGGAUAAUGUCUUCGGACCAAAGAUUUAUCGCCUUUGGAUGGGCCCGCGUUGGAUUAGCUAGUUGGUAGGGUAAAAGCCUACCAAGGCGACGAUCCAUAGCUGGUCUAAGAGGAUGAUCAGCCACACUGGGACUGAGACACGGCCCAGACUCCUACGGGAGGCAGCAGUGGGGAAUAUUGGACAAGGGGCGAAAGCCUGAUCCAGCAAUGCCGCGUGAGUGAUGAAGGCCUUAGGGUUGUAAAGCUCUUUUACCCGGGAUGAUAAUGACAGUACCGGGAGAAUAAGCUCCGGCUAACUCCGUG
rnacentral:rRNA from 1 species